GAGCUCUUUCUGAGAUGAAGAGAACUCUCAAUGUCAAGAUUUCAACAAGAAGAGAAUGGAAUACACGAUACGGACAUCCAUAAAAAUUCUUCAGAGGGUGUUUUACUACUGAGCUGCAAAGGCUUGAGUGCAGUGGUGCCAUCUCAGGUCACUUCAACCUCCACCUCCUGGCCUCAAGCGAUUCUCCCGCCUCAGCCUCCUGAGUAC
rnacentral:lncRNA from 1 species